CAAUAGCGUAUAUUAAUGUUGUUGCAGUUAAAAAGCUCGUAGUCGGAUUUUGGGAGCAUGUUGCACUGUCUGCCGAUUGGUAUGUACGGUUUAACGGCUUCAUUCCUUGACAAAACUCUGGUGGGCCUUCAUUGGUCUACUUGUUGGGUUGUCGUCUUUUACUUUGAAAAAUUAGAGUGUUCAAAGCAGGCCUAUGCUCUGAAUAGGUUAGCAUGGAAUAAUAGAAUAGGACUUUGGUUCUAUUUUGUUGGUUUCUAGGACCGAAGUAAUGAUUAAUAGGGACAGUUGGGGGCAUUUUUAUUCCAUUGUCAGAGGUGAAAUUCUUGGAUUAACGGAAGAAAAACUACUGCGAAAGCAUCUGCCAAGGAUGUUUUCAUUGAUCAAGAAUAUACAAAAGCACGCAGGUACUGCGAAAUUGAUCAAGAACGAAAGUUAGGGGAUCGAAGA
rnacentral:rRNA from 1 species